AGCGAACGCUGGCGGCAGGCUUAACACAUGCAAGUCGAGCGGGCACUUCGGUGUCAGCGGCAGACGGGUGAGUAACACGUGGGAACGUACCCUUUGGUUCGGAAUAACGCUGGGAAACUAGCGCUAAUACCGGAUACGCCCUUUUGGGGAAAGGCUUGCUGCCGAAGGAUCGGCCCGCGUCUGAUUAGCUAGUUGGUGGGGUAAUGGCCUACCAAGGCGACGAUCAGUAGCUGGUCUGAGAGGAUGAUCAGCCACACUGGGACUGAGACACGGCCCAGACUCCUACGGGAGGCAGCAGUGGGGAAUAUUGGACAAUGGGCGCAAGCCUGAUCCAGCCAUGCCGCGUGAGUGAUGAAGGUCUUAGGGUUGUAAAGCUCUUUUGUCCGGGACGAUAAUGACGGUACCGGAAGAAUAAGCCCCGGCUAACUUCGUG
rnacentral:rRNA from 1 species